GAUGAACGCUGGCGGCGUGCCUAAUACAUGCAAGUCGAGCGAACAGACGAGGAGCUUGCUCCUCUGCCGUUAGCGGCGGACGGGUGAGUAACACGUGGAUAACCUACCUAUAAGUCUGGGAUAACUUCGGGAAACCGGAGCUACUACCGGCUAAUAUAUUGAACCGCAUGGUUCAAUAGUUCAAGACGGUUUUGCUGUCACUUAUAGAUGGAUCCGCGCCGCAUUAGCUAGUUGGUAAGGUAACGGCUUACCAAGGCAACGAUGCGUAGCCGACCUGAGAGGGUGAUCAGCCACACUGGAACUGAGACACGGUCCAGACUCCUACGGGAGGCAGCAGUAGGGAAUCUUCCGCAAUGGGCGAAAGCCUGACCGAGCAACGCCGCGUGAGUGAUGAAGGUCUUCGGAUCGUAAAGCUCUGUUAUUAGGGAAGAAAAAAUGUGUAAUAAACUAUGCACGUCUUGACGGUACCUAAUCAGAAAGCCACGGCUAACUACGUG
rnacentral:rRNA from 1 species